GUGCCUUUCUUCUGCCUUUGCUGGUGCUCCUGACCCUGCCUCUCCAUUGCUGAUCUUCUCUAUAUAAAUUCUUCCCAAGGACUCCCAGUCCUAUUUUCACUGCCAGGUCUCACUGCUAAGUGUCUACAUAAAUUUAGCCAAUGGUUCUAGCCCGGAGUAUAUAACUUCUAUGGGAAGCUGUCAGUAGUUCUGUGCUUGAUAGUUUUCAAACUGUGCGCUGUCUGCUAAUGUUAUCUAGUGUUUUCCACUGCAAGCUCUGCCUCAAAGUCUCAGGAUGUCUCUUGGGAAUUUUAUCCACAGGCAAUAUAAGUGGUGAUGCACUGCCUUCAGUUUCAUUGUCCAGAUGGAGAGAGUUCCUGAAGCUCAUAGACAUCUCAUCUUCCUUUUUAUUGGCCUCCAAGAAAAAAAAGAAUUGUGAGCCAGCAUUUAUUACACUCUAAGAAAUGGGUCGUACCCUGAUCAGCAGUGCUGAAAAAUGCUCAUGAGUCCACUUUGGAUGGAACCACUGCAAGGAACUCUGUGACUUGAAUUUGGUGAUUCUGGUGGGCUUCGAGUCACAGAAGCCUUUGCAUCUCCUUUCACACCAGCACAGAGCUGGGCAGGGAGCCCAGGGCCUGGCACACAGGGCAUCUUUCCUGUUUAUCACAGAGAUGGUUUCACAGAAGUACGAGCCACCUCAGCUGGACCAGUCCAGGUCCCUGCCUGGGAGCUUCUGCUUUGGAACAGAAUGAGCAUUCACUUUCCCUUUUGGGUUCAAGGAGCAGGAAAAAAAGUGUGAACUGCCUUACUGCCUAAGAACGGAAAGAUAGACACCUGCUAUAUUUGGAAAGAAUGAAAUGAACUCAUGGAAGAAAAGAGAGUGAAAAGAAAGGGAGAAAGUUGUGUUUUGAUGACAUCAUUUGACCCCUCGAUACGUCUGCACAUAAAGCAAGACAUUUUGCAUAAAAUGGUUUUGUUUAUGUCAUUUGUAAUUGGAAAAGUCGUGAUUUCCAAGAAGUUCCGUUGAUUGUUAACUGUUACUUGUGAAAGUUCAUGAAAAGAUAGUUUCCUAAUUCUUACUUACUAUUUAAAGGGAUGUGUGUGUACAUAUAAAAGUAAGUAUACGGUGUGUGUGCAUCAAUGAAUGGUCCUUCUGAAAACAUGAAAAAUAAGUGAGGAGGAAUUCUGAGAGGAGAUUUAAGCCUUGAAAAGUACGGCUUCCUCAUAGGUAACCAGAGCUAAUUACUACACCAUGGAUUAAAGCAGGUGAAUCAAACUAUUUGAAGAACAUCUGUUGAGCAGCUACCUUUUAAUUCAUUUGGGACUACUAAUAUAAAUACGCGACAAAUUUUUUUCUUUAUCACCCAAAAUACACAUGCCAUACUUGCUGUUCAGGAUUUUGCUCUGAUCACGUAACGAUAUACCUUUGAGCUACAAUAAAACUCUACUUCAUUCUUCCUUUAUGGCUUCA
rnacentral:lncRNA from 1 species